ACUUAGACACUGAGACACUCACUUGGACACUUAGACACUCACUUAUACACUUAGACACUCACUUAGACACUUAGACACUCACUUAGACACUCGCUGGCUGGCACGCCUCAAGAAGGCCAUCUUCAACCCUGAGCUGUACCAGGACAUCGCCACGUGGAUCAGGGUGUAUUGGUGGUCCGUGCUGCUGAUGCUACUGGCGCUGAUUCUCUUGAUGGCAGCGUUCAUCCGCGUCUGCAGCGUUCACACUCCCACCAGUAACCCAAAGCUUCCUCCUCACAAGCACAUCUCUGACACGCUGCGACGAGGCCGACGGAGACAGGGGGCUGGGGCCGCGGCUCGCCCCCCCCAGGGCCCCCCCCAGGGCCCCCCACAGGGCCCCCUACAGGGACCCCUACAGGGAGUUCCAUCAAAGAGAGGGGGUAGUCACUCAGAGGCCAUGGAGUUACAGGGGAGGGCUCGCUAGCUACCACCACAACUAUCACCACUACUACAACUACUACUAAUACCACUACUACUACUACAACAACAAUUACUACCACCACUACUACUACUACCACAAUUACUACAACUAC